UUCCAGACUCCUACGGGAGGCAGCAGUGAGGAAUAUUGGUCAAUGGCCGUAAGGCUGAACCAGCGAAGUAGCGUGAGGGAAGACUGCCCUAUGGGUUGUAAACCUCUUUUAUGCGGGGAUAAAGGUGUCCACGUGUGGAUGUUUGCAGGUACCGCAUGAAUAAGGACCGGCUAAUUCCGUGCCAGCAGCCGCGGUAAUACGGAAGGUCCGGGCGUUAUCCGGAUUUAUUGGGUUUAAAGGGUGCGUAGGCGGACAGUCAAGUCAGCGGUAAAAAUGCGGUGCUCAACGCCGUACAGCCGUUGAAACUGGCAGUCUUGAGUGGGCGAGAAGUAUGCGGAAUGCGUGGUGUAGCGGUGAAAUGCAUAGAUAUCACGCAGAACUCCGAUUGCGAAGGCAGCAUACCGGCGCCCGACUGACGCUGAGGCACGAAAGCGUGGGUAUCGAACAGGAUUAGAUACCCCAGUA
rnacentral:rRNA from 1 species